CAGUCGCCGCGGUAAUACGAAGGGUGCAAGCGAUAAUCGGAAUUACUGGGCGUAAAGCUUGCGUAGGCGGUUUGUUAAGUCUGUUGUGAAAUCCCCGGGCUCAACCUGGGAAUGGCAAUGGAUACUGGCAAGCUAGAGUGUGUCAGAGGAUGGUGGAAUUCCCGGUGUAGCGGUGAAAUGCGUAGAGAUCGGGAGGAACAUCAGUGGCGAAGGCGGCCAUCUGGGACAACACUGACGCUGAGGCGCGAAAGCGUGGGGAGCAAACAGGAUUAGAUACCCCCGUAGUCCCUGUCUCUUAUAC
rnacentral:rRNA from 1 species